rnacentral:sRNA from 1 species
AUUUGCUGUGAAAGGCAGCGGUAUUCAGUGAAAGCGUUACCACGGUCGGCUUGAAUUGCUCUGCGUUGGUCCCUUCCCUCAGUACUCUCUGUAAUUCUCAGCAAUCCGCUUCUUCAUGACGAAGAGGCAGUCCGUUGCGGGCUUAAAUCUCAGGAAUACAGGAAAGAUUCAUGUCAGAUACUAAAACCGGCCACGUCAAGUGGUUCAACGAAUCCAAAGGUUUUGGCUUCAUCGCUCAGGAAGGCGGCAGUGACGUAUUCGUUCACUACAGCGCAAUCAAUGCGUCUGGCUUCCGUACAUUGAACGAAGGCCAGCAGGUUCAGUUCACCGUGACCCAGGGACCGAAAGGCCCCCAGGCCGAGAACGUUACUCCGGUCUGAUUAGAGCUUUAUCCCGCCAGCCACGGUUUGGCAUGGCUGGCACACAAAAAAGCCGACACAUUUGUGUCGGCUUUUUUC